rnacentral:rRNA from 1 species
UACGUAGGGGGCAAGCGUUGUCCGGAAUCAUUGGGCGUAAAGAGCGUGUAGGCGGUCCGGUAAGUCCGCUGUGAAAGUCAAGGGCUCAACCCUUGAAUGCCGGCGGAUACUGUCGGGCUAGAGUCCGGAAGAGGCGAGUGGAAUUCCUGGUGUAGCGGUGAAAUGCGCAGAUAUCAGGAGGAACACCUAUGGCGAAGGCAGCUCGCUGGGACGGUACUGACGCUGAGACGCGAAAGCGUGGGGAGCAAACAGG